AGUGAACGCUGGCGGUAGGCCUAACACAUGCGAGUCGAACGGCAGCACAGUAAGAGCUUGCUCUUACGGGUGGCGAGUGGCGGACGGGUGAGGAAUACAUCGGAAUCUACUUUUUCGUGGGGGAUAACGUAGGGAAACUUACGCUAAUACCGCAUACGACCUACGGGUGAAAGCAGGGGAACUUCGGACCUUGCGCGAUUGAAUGAGCCGAUGUCGGAUUAGCUAGUUGGCGGGGGAAAGGCCCACCAAGGCGACGAUCCGUAGCUGGUCUGAGAGGAUGAUCAGCCACACUGGAACUUAGACACGGUCCAGACUCCUACGGGAGGCAGCAGUGGGGAAUAUUGGACAAUGGGCGCAAGCCUGAUCCAGCCAUACCGCGUGGGUGAAGAAGGCCUUCGGGUUGUAAAGCCCUUUUGUUGGGAAAGAAAAGCAGCAGGUUAAUACCCCGCUGUUCUGACGGUACCCAAAGAAUAAGCACCGGCUAACUUCGUG
rnacentral:rRNA from 1 species